GAAGGAUCAUUAACGAAUAACU
rnacentral:rRNA from 1 species